rnacentral:rRNA from 1 species
CACUCCUACGGGAGACAGCAGUGGGGAAUAUUGCACAAUGGGCGCAAGCCUGAUGCAGCCAUGCCGCGUGUGUGAAGAAGGCCUUCGGGUUGUAAAGCACUUUCAGCGGGGAGGAAGGCGAUACGGUUAAUAACCGUGUUGAUUGACGUUACCCGCAGAAGAAGCACCGGCUAACUCCGUGCCAGCAGCCGCGGUAAUACGGAGGGUGCAAGCGUUAAUCGGAAUUACUGGGCGUAAAGCGCACGCAGGCGGUCUGUCAAGUCGGAUGUGAAAUCCCCGGGCUCAACCUGGGAACUGCAUUCGAAACUGGCAGGCUUGAGUCUUGUAGAGGGGGGUAGAAUUCCAGGUGUAGCGGUGAAAUGCGUAGAGAUCUGGAGGAAUACCGGUGGCGAAGGCGGCCCCCUGGACAAAGACUGACGCUCAGGUGCGAAAGCGUGGGGAGCAAACAGGAUUAGAAACCCCAGUAGUCCCA